CAGUCCUUUUUAGACUGGAAACAAAUAGGACAUAUGAUAAAUGUGAUUGUUAAAAGAUGAUUGAUAAAAAAUAGUGUGUACAUAUUUGGAAAACCAGAGAGAAAAUGAAUUAAUCCAAACAGACCUAAGACUACCAGCAGGGCAAGAAUUACAGCUACAGCUUGUCUCCACAAAUUUGAGUGGCUCAUGCAGAAAGCUCAGCCCAGGAGCAAAGGUCACUCCCUCGGUACAGCCUCUUCGUGCUGCUGGAAAUAAAGUGCUUCUCUGCCAUCCUCUCCUGGAACCAUCAGUGCCCAGGCUCUGCUCCAUACACCAGAGACGUCUUCCAUGUAUGCAGUCACCAACACCAGCAGUCGUGUAUUAGAUAUUUGCAUCCGUAGGU